rnacentral:rRNA from 1 species
UAACGUCGAGAAAUCGGCGCUAAUACCUCAUAAUGCAGCGGAUCCGCAUGGAUAUGUUGUUAAAGGUUUAUCGCCUUGGGAUAGGCUUGCGUCUGAUUAGCUAGUUGGUGUGGUAACGGCACACCAAGGCUACGAUCAGUAACUGGUCUGAGAGGAUGAUCAGUCACACUGGAACUGAGACACGGUCCAGACUCCUACGGGAGGUCAGCAGUGAGGAAUAUUGGGCAAUUGCUCGAAAGAGUGACCCAGCAACGCCGCGUGGAGGAUGAAGGUAUUCUAUAUCGUAAACUCCUGUGAGAGCAGACGAAAGACAGAUUAUUAAUCUGGAUGACUGUAUGCUCAGAGGAAGCCCCGGCUAACUACGUG